rnacentral:rRNA from 1 species
CGGACGGGUGAGUAAUGUCUGGGAAACUGCCCGAUGGAGGGGGAUAACUACUGGAAACGGUAGCUAAUACCGCAUAACGUCGCAAGACCAAAGAGGGGGACCUUCGGGCCUCUUGCCAUCGGAUGUGCCCAGAUGGGAUUAGCUAGUAGGUGGGGUAAUGGCUCACCUAGGCGACGAUCCCUAGCUGGUCUGAGAGGAUGACCAGCCACACUGGGACUGAGACACGGCCCAG